GUGCAGCAGUUGAAUAAGAGCUUGAGGGCCUCGUAUUAAACUAGGCAGUGCAGUGAUCUGUAGUAUGAGGUAGAGAAGCACAGUGGAACUGAUGGGCACAGAUCUCUGAACUCUCAGCCUGUAGCAAAGAUGGUAAUAAAUCUGAGGGACUUUUACAUGAACACAUUAAUUUACAGAUCAUUGGGAGUGGUCUGGUAUUUUGCUGUGGUCUUCCUUGCCCUGGGGACUGAAGUCCCAUUUGAUGUCACUGUUUGGUUAUAUGUUUACAAUAGACUCCCUUCGAGGAUUGGUUUUCUUACCUUUGCGCAGAAAGUCCUUUUUAAAAAUUUCUUAUGUGACGAUCGGUCAGUUAUUUUUGACUUCCAAAUUGCCAGCGGUUUAGACCAACUGUUUGAUUCAGACGGACCCCAAAAUUGGGUACGUUAAAGGAAAAACAGCUGGGCUGUUGGAAGAAGCGAGAACUAGCAAAGUCUUUGACUGAACUUUAGGGUGAGAACUGCCUGGGACGAAGAAAGCACAAUGGAAGAUGGCUGAAAGCCGCAAAAGACUACUGAGCACCCUGGAUCUGGGUAUCUUUGGACGAGUUCUUUUGAAUUGAUGGAUGUGUGAAACUGCUAAUAUGUAAACCACAAUCUGAUGGAUUUAGUGUGUAAGAGAAACAUGAGGACAGGUUAAAACAGGAGGUAAUCUUCUUGAAGAUGUAAAACUGCAGCACAACAGCAGUAAUGGGACAACCUAUUGCAGAAAGAUGUCGGCUGUGUCAAGGUGAGACAUAAUGAUGAAUGGCCUGAACUUCAGCUUGCAGGAGUUGCUAAGAAAAAUUGAACAGAACCUACCCUGGAAGAGAGAGCCCAGAGAAUUGCCAAAGCUGUCCGCAAACAGUCAAUAGAAGUGAAGGAAAAUUGGGAGCAAUUGAAAACCCGUGCGAGCAACUGGCAGAAACAGGUGGAAAAGGCGUUGGAGAAACUUCAAGAACUGCAGAAAGCUCUGGAUGAUCUUGAGGCUCAUGUGAUAACAGCUGAGGGGGUCCACACUGAUCAGCAACCUGUGGGUGACCUGCUUAUUGACUCAUUGCAGGGUCACAUUGAUAAAACCACAACCUCUUCAAACAAGGAGCUGAACCCACAGAAUUAUGUGACCAACAAAGCCUGAGCCUUUUGCUUCACAAUGCAGUCCAGAUCCCUCGGCAGCUGGGUGAGGUACCUUCAUUUGGAGGCAGCAACAUUGAACCAAGUGUCUGCAGUUGCUUCCAACAUGGCCAGAACAAACCAGAGAUUGAUGUUAAACACUUUGUAGAGUGGAUGAGAUUGGAGCCUCAGUCCAUGGUGUGGCUGCCUGUUCGACACCGUGUGGCAGCUGCUGAAACUGCAAAACAUCAGGCUAAGUGUAACAUCUGCAAAGAGUACCCACUCGUAGGUUUCAGGUGCCGCAGCCUCAAACACUGAAAUUAUGACAUCUGCCGAAGCUGUUUCUUUUCGGGACGCACAUCCAAGGGGCACAAGUUACAUUACCCAAUGGUGGAGUACUGCACUUCAACAACAUCAGGUGAAGAUGUGCGUGAUUUCACCAAGGUGCUGAAAAAUAAGUUCAGAUCAAAGAAAUACUUGGCCAAGCAUCCUCGUUUGGGUUAUUUCCCAGUAUAAACAGUCCUAGAAGGACACAAUCAUCGCCUUGGAAGCUUCAUCACGAUACUACUUUGCAUUUCUGAAGAGGGAAGAAGAAAUCAAUAUGCAAAUUCAAUUCCAUGGUUUUGGAAGUCCCAUUGAGAACACGAUUC